ensembl:ncRNA F32A6.11 ncRNA
CGUCUGUAAUAAAAAACGACGAUUUUUGUGCAAUAUGAGAAACUCGGCUAAUUGACACUGGCUACAAAGUCUAUGUGUCCAGUCUGGUAAUUGAACUCCGAGGCGCUCUAGAGGCGGGGCAUUCGUUUUUAAGGAAACUUGAGAACUU